rnacentral:rRNA from 1 species
AUUGAACGCUGGCGGCAUGCCUUACACAUGCAAGUCGAACGGCAGCACGGGAGCAAUCCUGGUGGCGAGUGGCGAACGGGUGAGUAAUGUAUCGGAACGUACCUUUCAGUGGGGGAGUAACGUAGCGAAAGUUACGCUAAUACCGCAUAUUCUGUGAGCAGGAAAGCAGGGGAGUCGCAAGACCUUGCGCUGAUUGAGCGGCCGAUAUCAGAUUAGCUAGUUGGUGAGGUAAAGGCUCACCAAGGCGACGAUCUGUAGCGGGUCUGAGAGGAUGAUCCGCCACACUGGAACUGAGACACGGUCCAGACUCCUACGGGAGGCAGCAGUGGGGAAUUUUGGACAAUGGGCGCAAGCCUGAUCCAGCCAUGCCGCGUGAGUGAAGAAGGCCUCGGUUGUAAG